UUACGGUCAAAUCACGCUGAAACACCGGUUCUCGUUCGAUCACCGAAGUUAAGCAUUGUAGAGCCAGGUCAGUACUUAGAUGGGGACCGCUUGGGAACACCUGGUACUGUAAG
rnacentral:rRNA from 1 species